GUGCUCACUUUCGCAGCACACAGGCUAAAAUUGGAACGACACGGGGAAGGUUAGCGUGGCCCCUGUGUGAGGA
ensembl:snRNA U6 U6 spliceosomal RNA